GGCAUGUUCUAGCACCUCCGCAUAUGAGAUAGGUCUCAGCAUCAUGGCCGGAUCAUAGAUGCCGGCACGAAGGUCCUUUAGAAACUUCCUAACUUUUCGACUUUCGAAUGUGACCAUUAGAUGGGCGAACCUAGACAAUUGGACAAAACAGGUUGCAUACUGGGCAAUUGUUAGAUUUCUUUGGUAGAGAUCUUGAAAUUCCUCUUCCUUCUUUUCUCAGACAUAGGCAGGAAAAAAGUUAUCAAAGAGUGUACCCAUGAAAACUUCUAGGUGUUAGGGGUUAGUAGGAC
rnacentral:lncRNA from 1 species